UUGGUGGAUUUCAAGUAAUCAAGCAAUCAAAGGUGGUGAAUCCUCUGAAAAGGGCAAAAAGAUAGUACCCGAGGAUCAAGAAAUCAAAGUACUCGAAACUCGAUUUCCAUUACAGCUCAGGAUAAUCGGUAGAUAGCUCAUUUCAUUGAGGACUACAGUUGGGCUUACAUCCUCAAAAAACUGGGAGGUGUGAAAACUGAUAUUAAAGCCUUGCGAGGUUCUGGUUAGCAUUCUGGGCAAUGAAUGUCCAUCGGGACGUCGCUGCAGUUGUCACGGGCUCGAGGGAAGUACCGGGUCGUGACAUCUCACAAAUCCAAUGCAUCCAAAAUAAUUAAUAACGCCAUGUUUUUAUGAAUUCUAUCACUCACAUUUAUAAUAAAUUUGUAGUUUAAAUUUUUUCUUCUAAAUUCAAGUUUUUAUUCAAUCUAAACAAAAACCGAAAUCCAAAAUCUGAACCUAUAAAUCAAUAUAAAUUACUAACUAAUCAUUUUAAUUUAUCUAGAGAAAGACCCACAGUAGCAUACCUUGUAGGUUGUUCUCUUUGAGGUCUAACUUCCUUAAUCUAGUCAAAUUCAUGAUUUCUUGAGGCACACUUCCUUCAACCAUUCUCUAACCUAAACCAAGGUAAGAUUACAAAGAA